rnacentral:lncRNA from 1 species
AUAUUAUGUUAAUAUUUACACAGUUUAAAACAUAGUGUUUUAUUUUAAAGUGAGAAAAGGAACAUUAAUAGGCAUGAUUGUACAGCUAGAAUAUAUAUAGUAAGAUACCAUUUUUAUUCUUCUGGGGCUAGAUACAAUAACAUGAGGUUCCAUAUACAAGACUAUAUGAAAAAUUGGAUUCUGUCCUUAUAUUUCCCUCCUUCAUGUGGUCUCAAAAAUAAAACAUUAUAUAAUCAUAGAGGGAAAUACAUUCAUAUUUUCCAAAGUAAGUUGUGGAAUGGAUUCCUACCCCAGCACUCCAAAAAGAAAAUUACCUACAGUAGAAAUUCUUAUAUACCUGUUAGUUUAUAUCAUAUUGUAAAUGUAUUUGUAGUGGUAUGAUCAUUUUUAAUGUUUUCCUUCUAUCAAAGUUAGUACAGAUUCAGGGAUUUUAAUUUCUGGCAUGUGGGCUACCAGUCCAUCUAAAAUGGUACAUAGGGUUUAGAGCAUUUUAGAAAUCCCUUGAAGGACUCUGCAUACAUAUAAGUAAAUGUUAAAUAUUAGUAUUUCCUUUCACAUUUAAUGGAAACAUUUUAGCUUCACCAUGAAAUUAUUACAUGUUAAGUGAUAUUGGUUCACAGAUUUAACUUUAGUUUGUAUAAUUACUGACCAUAUUAUUCAUUCUUCAUGUUUAAUUGGCAUAAUGCAUUGUGUUACUUGGGGAUUUAAAUUGUGGACAUGCAAAAGAGCCAAUGCAGUAAUAAACAUGAAGCAUAUGUUUUGCCCACAGGCAUCCUCGAGAAUGCAUAGGCAGGAAAAUCUUGGUUUUGUUUUUGUUUUUAAUUUUUGUGGAUGUUUCUUGGGGUUUUGUUUUGAUUUUUUGUUUUGGUUGGUUUUGGGUUUGUUUGUUUGUUUGUUUUUAAAACCCAUGGAUCUCAGUAUUCAGUUACUCUCCUGGAAGUACCAAAUGAAAGCGGGUGUGAGUGUAAGGAUCCAGAAGUCCAGCUGUGUGAGCAGCUCUCCAGCCCUUUCUGAUGACCAGGGCACAGAUUUCUGGAAAAUCCAUCACUGUGUGCUAUUUUUAUGGGAGGACCUGUAGUGCUGAGCCCCAGAGGAAAUAAUGGAUGUGACUGACAUUAAACAUGUUAUUAUUCUGCCUCCUCUUUAUCAUCAAAAUGUGCCUGGAAAAGGGUUAUAUAAGUGGAAAAUAACAUCCAAACGUUCAGAAUAGAGUCAUUAGGAAUUUAAUAAUCUUCGAGUGAGAAGUUGACACAAAUACUUAUAUUUCCAAUGGAUCUCAUCAUUCUUUCCUUAGCUGUGGGAAUGGGAGAUUGGCUUAUAACACCUUUUGCUAGCCUCUGUGAACUUAUACAUACUAUUUGGUUUCAUUCCGUUGUAACUCUUCAGCAAAGCAGGCCAAGGUCCAUGGACUUUUUAUUUUAAUUAUAGAAUUAUAUUACUUACUACAUUCAAAUGAAAACAAAUCCAAUUGGUUAAAGUGGAUUUUAUUCUUUUACUGUCUCAAACAAUGGGUGGCAGACUCUGACGUGCAAUGCUGACUACAAUGGGCAAUAAUAAUUGUUUGGAAGAUGCCCACUGAGUCAUAAGGCAGCUGCUAGUGUGUACAACUUUGUUCUUAAUUGGUUUCGCAGUAAGAUUCUAUAGUCUACUGACAAUAUGAUUUUAAUGUAAGUGAUUGUAUAUAAUCUCAAGGAUUGUCAGCGGGGAUAACUUCAGUGGGAGAUGUUUGAGGGUCAGGAAAAUCUGUGUUCUCUUCCAGGUUCCAGCACAUAUUAUAUAGAGAAACCAUAGGCACGAUGCUGAACUACUUCACUUCAAACUGUGCUACAAAGUGCUAAUGAUCGCUAUCACAGGGUGUUCUUUUGUACGAAGAAAAAUUUACAAGUGAUAAAAUCUAAGAUGCCUUUUAACCUCAUCACCAAACCUGUAAUCAAAUUAUGUAUCAAAAAGUCACCCCCACAUACACCAACUCAACUUUCCCCCCCUCUAAGCACAUAAAUAUAUUUUUAUAGAAAACAGAUCUACAGAAAAUAAACAAAAUCUGCUGUUAUGAGAGGAGUACAAUUUGCACAUGCCAUUGAAAAUUACUAAUCAGAAGAAGAUUAAGCAGGGUCUUUGCUAUACAAAAGCAUUUUCCACUAAUUCUGCAUGCAUAUUUAUAAGACGUGAACUCAGUGGAUUUAUUCUCUUGGUAUAAAGGCAUCUGAUAUUUUAGAUGUACCCAUGUUU